CUGCUUGGGGCGGAAAGCAAGGAGUCCGGCGUACCGCUGGUGGAGGUCCAGGUGGCCUGGAGAUAGCCCACGGGGAGAUGCAGUCCAGGCUCCCCAGGAGGUGGGGGGUAAGGUCGGCGUCUGGACUCACUUUUUGCCAGUACAUGUCCAGUGGUUACGAGACAGAGGAAGGGAGAGAUAAAGAAAAGGAGAGAAACAUCUUUGAGAGAGAAACAUCAGUCUGCUGCCUCCUGCACGUUCCCUGAGGACAGAACCCGCAACUCAGGCCGGUCCCCUGAUCAGGAAUCAAAACCAUGACCUUUGGGUUUGUAGGAUGAUGCUCAUCCACUGAGCCACACUGGCCAGGUUCCACUAGAUGAUGAAUGACCACUCAGGCUGCACUUGUGAUCCUGAAGCAGACACUGAAGCCAGUCUGACCAGAGAAUCCUGGGACAGGCCAAGGAAUGUGGUUCUGCAGGGAUAUGGAAGGAGCUGGCAGAUGGAGGCUAUAGUCCCACUUUCUACCAGAGGAAUGAGCUUCCCUUGAGACCCAGGAUGCAUACCAACUCACACCUAGAGCCAGGACAAUUACCAGACCCUGGACGAGGGCAGCCUUCCCAGCCCGAAGUACCUCCUUCAGCUCCUGUGCCACAGAGGCUAGACGCUCACUCUCCG